rnacentral:rRNA from 1 species
GAUGAACGCUAGCGGCAGGCCUAAUACAUGCAAGUCGAACGGUGUCUUCGGACAUAGUGGCGCACGGGUGCGUAACACGUAUGCAACCUACCUUAUAUUGGGGGAUAGCCGUUCGAAAGGGAGAUUAAUACCGCAUAAGACAGUAACUAGGCAUCUCGUAGCUGUUAAAGAUUUAUCGAUGUAAGCUGGGCAUGCGUUCACAUUAGCUAGUUGGUGAGGUAACGGCUCACCAGGGCAAUGAUGGGUAGGGGAACUGAGAGGUCAAUCCACCACCCUGGCACUGAGAUACGGGCUGGAGUCUUCCGGGAGGCAGCAGUAGGGAAUAUUGGUCAAUGGACGCAAGUCUGACCCAGCCAUGCCGCGUGCAGGAUGAAGGCGUUAUGCGUUGUAAACUGCUUUUAUACAGGAAGAAACGACUCUUGCGAGAGGCAUUGACGGUACUGUAUGAAUAAGCACCGGCUAACUCCGUGCCAGCAGCCGCCGCCGUAA